CUUGAGGGAACCGAGCCACAGCGGGCGGUUCUCCGGACGGUUCUGGCCGUAGGCGGCGAUGACCGCCUGCGCCUC
rnacentral:antisense_RNA from 1 species